UACAGAGGUCUCAAGCGUUGUUCGGAUUCAUUGGGCGUAAAGGGUGUGUAGGCGGCGCGGUUAGUCGGGUGUGAAAUCUUGGAGCUUAACUCCGAAACUGCAUUCGAUACUGCCGUGCUUGAGGACUGGAGAGGAGACUGGAAUUUACGGUGUAGCGGUGAAAUGCGUAGAUAUCGUAAGGAAGACCAGUGGCGAAGGCGGGUCUCUGGACAGUUCCUGACGCUGAGGCACGAAGGCCAGGGGAGCAAACGGG
rnacentral:rRNA from 1 species